GACGAACCACACGAACGUUAUUCGGAAUUACUGGGCUUAAAGGGUGCGUAGGCGGCGCAGAAAGUUGGGUGUGAAAUCCCUCGGCUCAACCGAGGAACUGCGCCCAAAACUACUGUGCUUGAGGAAGAUAGAGGUAAGCGGAACUUACGGUGGAGCGGUGAAAUGCGUUGAUAUCGGUAAGGAACACCUGUGGCGAAAGCGGCUACUGGGUCUUU
rnacentral:rRNA from 1 species